rnacentral:rRNA from 1 species
UACGGGGGGGGCAAGCGUUGUUCGGAAUUACUGGGCGUAAAGGGUUUGUAGGUGGCCAACUAAGUCAGACGUGAAAUCCCUCAGCUUAACUGGGGAACUGCGUCUGAUACUGGUUGGCUUGAGUGCAGGAGAGGAACGCGGAAUUCCAGGUGUAGCGGUGAAAUGCGUAGAUAUCUGGAGGAACACCGGUGGCGAAGGCGGCAUUCUGGACCAUAACUGACACUGAGAGACGAAAGCCAGGGGAGCAAACGGG